rnacentral:rRNA from 1 species
AUGUGACUGUGGAUCGACCCCAUGUGAAGCCUCUUCGAUGAGUCGAGUUGUUUGGGAAUGCAGCUCAAAAUGGGUGGUAAAUUUCAUCUAAAGCUAAAUACUGGCUGGAGACCGAUAGCGCACAAGUAGAGUGAUCGAAAGAUGAAAAGCACUUUGGAAAGAGAGUCAAAAAGUACGUGAAAUUGUUGAAAGGGAAGCGCUUGCAACCAGACCUGUCCGUAGGUGAUCAGCCGCUGUUCUCAGUGGUGCACUCGCUCUGCGAUCAGGCCAGCAUCGGUUCGGGCGGUCGGAUAAAGGCCUUGGGAAUGUAGCUUCCUUCGGGGAGUCUUAUAGCCCUCGGUGCAAUGCGGCCAGCCGGGACCGAGGACCGCGCUUCGGCUAGGAUGCUGGCGUAAUGGUUGUAAGCGACCCGUCUUGAAACACGGACCAAGGAGUCUAACAUCUAUGCGAGUGUUUGGGUGUCAAACCCAUGCGCGGAAUGAAAGUGAACGGAGGUGAGAACCCUUAAGGGCGCAUCAUCGACCGAUCCAGAUGUCUUCGGAUGGAUUUGAGUAUGAGCAUAGCUGUUGGGACCCGAAAGAUGGUGA